rfam:Corchorus olitorius cultivar O-4 contig20122, whole genome shotgun sequence.
CUCAGAAAGAGGACAAUCCUUUAGCACAAAGGAGACUGGAUCUCGAGUCUAGUUGAUGAAUUACCACCUUGUGAUCAGAGCGUAAUUAACAGCUUCCUUGGUCCCUUGGGUCCAGCCGAAGCGGUAGAGGAUCGUUCCCGGCUCGGUGUUCAUCGGGCUGGGAUGGUAACAAGGUUGUCUGACAGACU